AACGAACGCUGGCGGCAGGCUUAACACAUUCAAGUCGAGCGCCCCGCAAGGGGAGCGGCAGACGGGUGAGUAACGCGUGGGAAUCUACCCAUCUCUACGGAAUAACGCAUGGAAACGUGUGCUAAUACCGUAUACGUCCUUCGGGAGAAAGAUUUAUCGGAGAUGGAUGAGCCCGCGUUGGAUUAGCUAGUUGGUGGGGUAAAGGCCUACCAAGGCGACGAGCCAUAGCUGGUCUGAGAGGAUGAUCAGCCACACUGGGACUGAGACACGUCCCAGACUCCUACGGGAGGCAGCAGGGGGGAAUAUUGGACAAUGGGCGCAAGCCUGAUCCAGCCAUGCCGCGUGGGUGAUGAAGGCCCUAGGGUUGUAAAGCUCUUUCACCGGUGAAGAUAAUGACGGUAACCGGAGAAGAAGCCCCGGCUAACUUCGUGCCAGCCGCCGCGGUAAUAC
rnacentral:rRNA from 1 species